AUGGUUAGGUCACAAAUUCUUUCCAUAUCAGGUGACGCAUACCCAAGUGACGAUAUAUAUAUAGCUCAGUCAGUCCUCGCUGAGUGUUUGUCCGUGUCAUGGGAACAUUUGUCGUGGACCUGGACCAGCUGGAUCGCACCUCGCUCUGUGCGCCAGUUGAAGGAGAAGAUGGUCUGCUGGAUCCUGCUGCUCAUCAGCCUGACCCCCUUUACCUGGGGAACAUUUGUAGUGAAUGUGACACAGAGCUCCUAUCAGGCAGAGGAGAACCACGACAUCACACUGGACUGGACCUUCACAACCACAGCUCACAUGUCUCUCUCAGCAGUUUACAUCUUCUGUCAACUGUUAACUGAGGACAAAGUCCCAGUCCUGUUUCAUCUACAUGAGGGUGUUGAGGUCCCAGAGUCUCAGGACAAACAGUUUUCAGGACGAGUCCAGUUUGACAAAGACGUCCUCAGAGAAGGACUAGUCAGACUUCAUGUGUCCAGACUCAGGACUGAGGACUCUGGUCUGUACCUGUGUCACGUGAAGACAGAUGAUGGUAGAGCCUAUAACACCUGUCACCUCAACGUCACAGCAGCGAGGGACUGGUCUGACCCUGAGAGAGAACCUGAGAGACCAGACGCAGCAGGUUGGAGAUGGAUCGUCCUCAUCUGUGGACUGGGACUGACAGCAGCAGGUGGACUGACUGUGUGUUACUGUUGGUUCAAUAAGGAUCAGACUGGAAAAAAAGAUUCCAGAAGAAAAAGAAACUACAGCUCAGGUUCUACAUCAGAGGAACUCGUUUGAUCAACAGAAUCAGACCAACCCUAAAGUCCAUUUUCCAGCUCAGGCAGAAAUCAGUGGUUUGUCAUUGGCUGCAGGUCAGAAAACUGCACAUCAGGACACAUCAGACAAACCAGCAGGUAACCUGAGCAGCAACUUGAUGCUUCAUGUAUGUUCCAUGUUUCAAAGAAGAAAACACAGAAAAACACAUCUUUUCCUUCCUGUUGCUCAUAUUGUUGCUCUGUUUUAUUUAUGUAUGUUACAUUUUUUAUUUGUUCCUAUUGUUGCAAACAUUGAUAUUUGUGUACAUUUGUAAAUAGAACAACACUAAUUUGGAAAUAUAAUAACUUUAUAUUUCAUUGUUUUAUCUCUUUAUUUUAAUUCAUUCUGUGAAUGAAGACAAUAAAAGUCUGAACUGGAGUCAAAUAAAA
rnacentral:lncRNA from 1 species